rnacentral:rRNA from 1 species
GUAGGUGGCAAGCGUUGUCCGGAAUUAUUGGGCGUAAAGCGCGCGCAGGCGGUUUUUUAAGUCUGAUGUGAAAGCCCACGGCUCAACCGUGGAGGGUCAUUGGAAACUGGAGAACUUGAGUACAGAAGAGGAAAGCGGAAUUCCACGUGUAGCGGUGAAAUGCGUAGAGAUGUGGAGGAACACCAGUGGCGAAGGCGGCUUUCUGGUCUGUAACUGACGCUGAGGCGCGAAAGCGUGGGGAGCAAACAGGGAUUAGGUACCCUGGUAGUCCACGCCGUAAACGAUGAGUGCUAAGUGUUAGGGGGUUUCCCGCCCCUUAGUGCUGCAGCUAACGCAUUAAGCACUCCGCCUGGGGAUACGGCCGCAAGGCUG